rnacentral:rRNA from 1 species
AAUCAACGCUGGCGGCAGGCCUAACACAUGCAAGUCGAACGCUCCGCAAGGGGAGUGGCGCACGGGUGAGUAACACGUGGGAACCUACCUUCUGGUACGGAACAACCAAGGGAAACUUUGGCUAAGACCGUAUACGACCUCCGGGUGAAAGAUUGAUCGCCGGAAGAGGGCCCGCGUCCGAUUAGGUAGUUGGUGAGGUAACGGCUCACCAAGCCUUCGAUCGGUAGCUGGUCUGAGAGGAUGGCCAGCCACACUGGGACUGAGACACGGCCCACGACUCCUACGGGAGGCAGCAGUGGGGAAGUAUUGGACAAUGGGCGCAAGCCUGAUCCAGCCAUGCCG